rnacentral:rRNA from 1 species
CCAUGCCGUAAACGUUGGGCACUAGGUGUGGGGCCUUUUCCAUGGGUUCUGCGCCGUAGCUAACGCAUUAAGUGCCCCGCCUGGGGAGUACGGCCGCAAGGCUAAAACUCAAAGGAAUUGACGGGGGCCCGCACAAGCGGCGGAGCAUGCGGAUUAAUUCGAUGCAACGCGAAGAACCUUACCAAGGCUUGACAUACACUGCGAUGGUUCCAGAGAUGGGCCAGCCUUCGGGGUGGUGUACAGGUGGUGCAUGGUUGU